CUGUGGGGGUAUAAACCCCUAUACCCUUACGGCUAGACUUGGGCCAGGAGGCUUGGCCCACUACGAGACGAGCUCAAGGCUUGAUCCGAUAGAUUGGAGUUUCGUGCAAGGAAACAAGAUGUGGAGAUCAAGCAGGAUUCUAGUCGGUUAGAAUAGGAAUUGAUAUCGAACUAUCUAUGGCAAUUGUAACCGACUAGGAUUAGUUCCCAGAUCUGUAACCCUGCCCUCCGGACUAUAUAAGGAGAGGCAAGGGACCCCCCUAGGACAUCAUAUUCUCUCAACACAAAUCAAUACAACCAGACGCAGGACGUAGGUAUUACGCCAACUCGGCGGCCGAACCUGGAUAAAAGCUUGUCCGUGUCUUGCGUCACCAUCGAGUUCGUAGUUUGCGCACCGUCUACCGAUAAACUACUACCGUGGGUAUACCCCAAGGUAGACUGCCGACCAGCUUUCGUCGACAAUGGCUAGUCUCCGAAGGUGCAAAAAAUUUAAUAAUAGGUGUGGAAUUUGAGUUAUCCAUAAAGAUGGAAAAAAUAAAAAGAUAAAAGAAUAAAAGUAUAAAAAUAUAAUACAAGAUAAUAGCAAGACUUAAAGUUAUCUCAGCAAACCGUCUUUCUCCCCGGCAACGGCGCCAGAAAUGCUUGUUGAUAUUUGGUAACGCCAUCAGGAAAUGAUCCGCAAGCGCACGGAUAUCGGUGAGCACUUCACCCGGGAGGUUAUCCAGAGUAUCGUAUUUAUAUUUUUACCACUAGGAGAAAGCGUGCAUCUGACUAACCAAAUCGAUUGCUACUACCCUUUAGGCUACAAACAAUGUGAUUCGAUGAGAGUGAUGUAUAGAGAAGACUACAACCGCACUCUCGUUCGAACCUUGGUAAGGAUGAUCUACUGUUCUAUUGGAAAGGCUCACGGA
rnacentral:lncRNA from 1 species